rnacentral:tmRNA from 1 species
GGGGAUGUAACGGAUUCGACGGGGUGUUGGAUCGUUGAUGUUGCAAGUCGUGCUUAUCCGGUGGCGCACGUAAAUUCAACUGGUAUUGCAAUAAAUGCAAACAAUGACUACGCUUUAGCUGCCUAAACAAAACAGGCGCUACAUCUUUCAGAAAAUAUGCCUGUUUAUUGUCUGAAAGGUGUCGCAAAUUAACAGGAUAGUCCCGCGGUGUGUACCUGACCAAAGGGCGAAACAAAAAGGUAACAGAUUCUGAAGACCUGUCUGACGGUUACUUCGGAGUUUAAAAAAGAUUGACAGACUAAACUUGUAGAAGCACAAUGAGAAGCUCUUCGGACGCGGGUUCGACUCCCGCCAUCUCCACGA